rnacentral:rRNA from 1 species
UGGGGGAUAUUGCACAAUGGGCGAAAGCCUGAUGCAGCGACGCCGCGUGGGGGAUGAAGGCCUUCUGGUUGUAAACUUCUUUUGCUCUGAACAAGGCAUGCCUUUGGGGUGUGUUGAGUGUAGGGGUUGAUUAGCGCCGGCUAACUACGUGCCAGCAGCCGCGGUAAUACGUAGGGCGCGAGCGGUGUCCGGAAUUAUUGGGCGUAAAGGGCUUGUAGGUGGCUGGUUGCGUCUGUCGUGAAAGCUCAUGGCUUAACUGUGGGUUUGCGGUGGGUGCAGGCUUGAUUGAGGGCAGUAGGGGAGGCUGGAAUUCCUGGUGGAGCGGUGGAAUGCGCAGAUAUAAGGAGGAAUACCGGUGACGAAGGCGAGUCUCUGGGCUGUUACUGACGCUAAGGAGCUAAAGCGUGGAGAGCGAACAGG